GAGCUCCUUGUGCGGCGCCAUUUUAAGCCUCUCGGUCUGUGGCAGCCGCGAUAGCCCAGCCCUGGGAGCGGAGAGCGAGGGGAGGCGGAGACCGAGGAAGGUCCAAGGAGCAGCUCCGAUCCCCCGUCGAGCUGCCACUGCAGGCCGAGGACGGUCGGACUCCCGCGGCGGGAGGAGCCUGUUCCCCUGAGGGUCUCUGAAGUACAGCAUACUACGGUUUUGAAAAUCUUGCGUGGACAAUGGCUACCCAAGCUGACUUGAUGGAGCUGGACAUGGCCAUGGAGCCAGACAGAAAAGCAGCUGUUAGUCACUGGCAGCAACAAUCUUACCUGGACUCUGGAAUCCAUUCUGGUGCCACUACCACAGCUCCUUCUCUGAGUGGUAAAGGCAAUCCUGAGGAAGAGGAUGUGGAUACCACCCAAGUCCUGUAUGAGUGGGAGCAGGGAUUUUCUCAGUCCUUCACUCAAGAACAAGUAGCUGAUAUCGAUGGACAGUAUGCAAUGACUCGAGCUCAGAGGGUACGAGCUGCUAUGUUCCCCGAGACGUUAGAUGAGGGCAUGCAGAUCCCAUCUACACAGUUUGAUGCCGCUCAUCCCACUAAUGUCCAGCGUCUGGCUGAACCAUCACAGAUGCUGAAACAUGCAGUUGUAAAUUUGAUUAACUAUCAGGAUGAUGCAGAACUUGCCACACGUGCAAUCCCUGAAUUGACAAAACUGCUAAAUGAUGAAGACCAGGUGGUGGUUAAUAAGGCUGCAGUUAUGGUCCAUCAGCUUUCUAAAAAGGAAGCUUCCAGACACGCCAUCAUGCGUUCUCCUCAGAUGGUGUCUGCUAUUGUACGCACCAUGCAGAAUACAAAUGAUGUGGAAACGGCUCGCUGUACUGCUGGGACCUUGCACAAUCUCUCCCAUCAUCGUGAGGGCUUGCUGGCCAUCUUUAAGUCCGGGGGCAUUCCUGCCCUGGUGAAGAUGCUUGGUUCACCAGUGGAUUCUGUAUUGUUUUAUGCCAUUACAACUCUCCACAACCUUUUAUUGCAUCAGGAAGGAGCUAAAAUGGCAGUGCGUUUAGCUGGCGGGCUGCAGAAAAUGGUUGCCUUGCUCAACAAAACAAAUGUUAAAUUCUUGGCUAUUACAACAGACUGCCUUCAGAUUUUAGCUUAUGGCAAUCAAGAAAGCAAGCUGAUCAUUUUGGCUAGUGGUGGACCUCAAGCUUUAGUGAAUAUAAUGAGGACCUACACCUAUGAGAAACUACUGUGGACCACAAGCAGAGUACUGAAGGUGCUGUCUGUCUGCUCUAGUAAUAAGCCGGCUAUUGUAGAAGCUGGUGGAAUGCAAGCUUUAGGACUUCACCUGACAGAUCCAAGUCAACGUCUUGUUCAGAAUUGUCUUUGGACUCUGAGGAAUCUUUCAGAUGCUGCAACUAAACAGGAAGGGAUGGAAGGUCUUCUUGGGACCCUUGUUCAGCUUCUGGGCUCAGAUGAUAUAAAUGUGGUCACCUGCGCAGCUGGAAUUCUUUCUAAUCUCACCUGCAAUAAUUACAAGAACAAGAUGAUGGUGUGCCAAGUGGGUGGUAUAGAGGCUCUUGUGCGUACUGUCCUUCGUGCUGGUGACAGGGAGGAUAUCACUGAGCCUGCCAUCUGUGCUCUUCGUCAUCUGACCAGCCGACACCAGGAAGCUGAGAUGGCCCAGAAUGCUGUUCGCCUUCACUAUGGACUGCCAGUUGUGGUUAAACUCCUACAUCCACCAUCCCAUUGGCCUCUGAUCAAGGCUACCGUUGGAUUGAUUCGAAAUCUUGCCCUUUGUCCCGCAAAUCACGCACCUUUGCGUGAGCAGGGUGCCAUUCCACGACUAGUUCAGUUGCUGGUUCGUGCACAUCAGGAUACCCAGCGCCGUACAUCUAUGGGGGGAACACAGCAGCAGUUUGUGGAGGGGGUCCGCAUGGAAGAAAUAGUUGAAGGUUGUACUGGAGCCCUUCACAUCCUAGCUCGGGAUGUUCACAACCGAAUUGUUAUCAGAGGCCUAAAUACCAUUCCAUUGUUUGUGCAGCUGCUUUAUUCUCCCAUUGAAAAUAUCCAAAGAGUAGCUGCAGGGGUCCUCUGUGAACUUGCUCAGGACAAGGAGGCUGCAGAAGCUAUUGAAGCUGAGGGAGCCACAGCUCCUCUGACAGAAUUACUUCAUUCUAGGAAUGAAGGUGUGGCAACAUAUGCAGCUGCUGUUUUAUUCCGAAUGUCUGAGGACAAGCCACAGGAUUAUAAGAAACGGCUUUCGGUUGAGCUGACCAGUUCUCUCUUCAGAACGGAGCCAAUGGCUUGGAAUGAGACUGCUGAUCUUGGACUUGAUAUCGGUGCCCAGGGAGAACCCCUUGGAUAUCGCCAGGAUGAUCCCAGCUAUCGUUCUUUUCACUCUGGUGGAUACGGCCAGGAUGCCUUGGGUAUGGACCCCAUGAUGGAGCAUGAGAUGGGCGGCCACCACCCUGGUGCUGACUAUCCAGUUGAUGGGCUGCCAGAUCUGGGGCAUGCCCAGGACCUCAUGGAUGGGCUGCCUCCAGGUGACAGCAAUCAGUUGGCCUGGUUUGAUACUGACCUGUAAAUCAUCCUUUAGGUAAGAAGUUAAAAAAGCCAGUUUGGGUAAAAUACUUUUACUCUGCCUACAGAACUUCAGAAAGACUUGGUUGGUAGGGUGGGAGUGGUUUAGGCCUAUUUGUAAAUCUGCCACAAAAAAAGAUACAUUGAAAGGAGAUGUCUUGGAACAUGUGAAUGUUCUCAGAUUUCUGGUUUGUUACGUGGUCAUGUGUGGAAGUUAUUAACUUUAAUGUUUUUUGCCACAGCUUUUGCAACGUAAUACUCAAAUGAGUAACAUUUGCUGUUCUAAACAUUAAUAGCAGCCUUUCUCUCUUUAUACAGCUGUAUUGUCUGAACUUGCAUUGUGAUUGGCCUGUAGAGUUGCUGAGAGGGCUCGAGGGGUGGGCUGGUAUCUCAGAAAGUGCCUGACACACUAACCAAGCUGAGUUUCCUAUGGGAACAAUUGAAGUAAACUUUUUGUUCUGGUCCUUUUUGGUCGAGGAGUAACAAUACAAAUGGAUUUUGGGAGUGACUCAAGAAGUGAAGAAUGCACAAGAAUGGAUCACAAGAUGGAAUUUAUCAAACUCUAGCCUUGCUUGUUAAAAUUUUUUUUAAAAUAUCUGUAAUGGUACUGACUUUGCUUGCUUUGAAGUAGCUUUUUUUUCUUUUUUUCUUUUUUUUGCAGUAACUGUUAGUUUUUUAAGUCUCUCGUAGUGUUAAGUUAUAGUGAAUACUGCUACAGCAAUUUCUAAUAAUUUUUAAGAAUUGAGUAAUGGUGUAGAACACUAAUUCAUAAUCACUCUAACUGUAAUCUGAAUAAAGUGUAACAUUGUGUAGCCUUUUUGUAUAAAAUAGACAAAUAGAAAUGGUCCAAUUAGUUUCCUUUUUAAUAUGCUUAAAAUAAGCAGGUGGAUCUAUUUCAUGUUUUUGAUCAAAAACUUUAUUUGGGAUAUGUAUGGGUAGGGUAAAUCAGUAAGAGGUGUUAUUUGGAACCUUGUUUUGGACAGUUUACCAGUUGCCUUUUAUCCCAAAGUUGUUGUAACCUGCUGUGAUACAAUGCUUCAAGAGAAAAAUGCGGUUAUAAAAAUGGUUCAGAAUUAAACUUUUAAUUCAUUC